rnacentral:rRNA from 1 species
GAUGAACGCUGGCGGCGUGCCUAAUACAUGCAAGUCGAGCGAACGGACGAGAAGCUUGCUUCUCUGAUGUUAGCGGCGGACGGGUGAGUAACACGUGGAUAACCUACCUAUAAGACUGGGAUAACUUCGGGAAACCGUAGCUAAUACCGGAUAAUAUUUUGAACCGCAUGGUUCAAAAGUGAAAGACGGUCUUGCUGUCACUUAUAGAUGGAUCCGCGCUGCAUUAGCUAGUUGGUAAGGUAACGGCUUACCAAGGCAACGAUGCAUAGCCGACCUGAGAGGGUGGUCGGCCACACUGGAACUGAGACACGGUCCAGACUCCUACGGGAGGCAGCAGUAGGGAAUCUUCCGCAAUGGGCGAAAGCCUGACGGAGCAACGCCGCGUGAGUGAUGAAGGUCUUCGGAUCGUAAAACUCUGUUAUUAGGGAAGAACAUAUGUGUAAGUAACUGUGCACAUCUUGACGGUACCUAAUCAGAAAGCCACGGCUAACUACGU